rnacentral:rRNA from 1 species
UACGGAGGGAGCUAGCGUUAUUCGGAAUUACUGGGCGUAAAGCGCACGUAGGCGGCUUUGCAAGUUAGAGGUGAAAGCCUGGAGCUCAACUCCAGAACUGCCUUUAAAACUGCAUCGCUUGAAUCCAGGAGAGGUGAGUGGAAUUCCGAGUGUAGAGGUGAAAUUCGAUAGAUAUUCGGAAGAACACCAGUGGCGAAGGCGGCUCACUGGACUGGUAUUGACGCUGAGGUGCGAAAGCGUGGGGAGCAAACAGGG